CUUAAGUUAUAUUGAAGUCAUUUAAGAACUCGUUCUAUCCUGUGUUUUAGAUUGUAGUUCCUGGAGAUCAGGGAUCAUUUUUUAUUCACCCUUUAUAUACGUUAGGGGUUGGAUAUAUAUUUGUUGAUUUAUAUUUGUUGAUUUAUAUUAGUAUUAAGCCUGUACAUUUAUAAUAUCUUGAUUGGCCAACUACUGGAUUUAACAAUAUAUAUGUAUAGUCAACUAUAUAGGUUGAAAUUUUACCUGUUGAUUUCAUUCUUAUCCUUAGAGUGCUGACUUCAGUGUGUGUAUGCGCACCUUGGAAGUAAGUGAUUCUCAGUACGAGCCAGGCAGGUUAUCCUCCAGAGGAAACUUCCCCUGCAGACAGGAAUUUAAUGAAGGCUGUUCAUCAUGAAAUACUUAUCCUAAGAUUUCACUGAAUCUACUAGCUAAAGGAAUCUCAAAUUUAAAUGACCUGAAAUGCCAUUGUUUGGUAUGCGGGUUUGUAGGUGCCAUAUUCAUUCCAUGCUCACUUACCCAUUUCUGUUUUUCUUUGGUUUAUUACCUUUAUUACUGGUUUACACAGCUAUCUCUUCAAUUAGUUUUUUAUUUGUUCGGUUUUUCAGGGUAGGGACCAGUUCCUCUCACUUUUGUAACCAACAUAACACAUUCUUAUGUUUAGAGGACUAGUAGCUCCAUACCCAUUGUGGAGACUACCGUAGAGCUUGAACUCAGCAGCCUGAGAUAAAGACCUGAGCUGGGAUCAAGAGUCGGACAUUUAACUGACAGAGCCACCCAGUGCGCCAAAGAGUUUUUUAUUUUAAGUAAUUUCUCACAACCCCAAGAUCAAGAGUCACAUGCUGUACCAACUGAGCCAGCCAGGAGUUCCUGUAGUGUAAUAUUUUUAAUAAAAUGACUAUGCCCCUUAA